rnacentral:rRNA from 1 species
AACAGAGAGAAGCUUGCUUCUUUGCUGACGAGUGGCGGACGGGUGAGUAACGCGUGGGAAUCUACCCAGUAGUUGGGGAUAGCCCGGAGAAAUCCGGAUUAAUACCGAAUAAGGUCUACGGACGAAAAGGUGCCUCUUCAUGAAAGCACUUGCUAUUGGAUGAGCCCGCGUUAGAUUAGUUUGUUGGUGGGGUAACGGCCUACCAAGACUGCGAUCUAUAGCUGGUUUGAGAGGAUGAUCAGCCACAUUGGGACUGAGACACGGCCCAGACUCCUACGGGAGGCAGCAGUGGGGAAUAUUGGACAAUGGGCGCAAGCCUGAUCCAGCAAUACCGCGUGUGUGAAGAAGGCCUUAGGGUUGUAAAGCACUUUUAUGUAGGAAGAAGGUAUGUAAGUUAAUAGCUUAUGUAAUUGACGGUACUACAAGAAUAAGCACCGGCUAACUCCGUGCCAGCAGCCGCGGUAAUACGGAGGGUGCGAGCGUUAAUCGGAAUUACUGGGCGUAAAGGGUACGUAGGCGGCUUAAUAAGUCAGAUGUGAAAUCCCCGGGCUUAACCUGGGAACUGCAUUUGAAACUGUUUAGCUAGAGUGAGUGAGAGGUUAGUGGAAUUCAAGGCGUAGCGGUGAAAUGCGUAGAGGUCUUGAGGAACAUCAGUGGCGAAGGCGACUAACUGGCACUACACUGACGCUGAGGUACGAAAGCGUGGGGAGCGAACAGGAUUAGAUACCCUGGUAGUCCACGCCCUAAACGAUGAGGACUGGCUGUCGGCGCUAUAGACGCGUCGGUAGCGAAGCUAACGCGUUAAGUUCUCCGCCUGGGGAGUACGACCGCAAGGUUGAAACUCAAAGGAAUUGGCGGGGGCCCGCACAAGCGGUGGAGCAUGUGGUUUAAUUCGAUGCAACGCGAA